rnacentral:rRNA from 1 species
ACGGCUCAGUAACACGUGGUCAAGCUAACCUAUGGACGUGGAUAACCUCGGGAAACUGAGAAUAAACCGCGAUAGAUCAUGAUGCCUGGAAUGGCUUAUGGUCGAAAUAGUUUACUGCCGUAGGAUGCGACUGCGGCCUAUCAGUUUGUUGGUGAGGUAAUGGCCCACCAAGACUAUUACAGGUACGGGCUCUGAGAGGAGAAGCCCGGAGAUGGGUACUGAGACACGGACCCAGGCCCUAUGGGGCGCAGCAGGCGAGAAACCUUAGCAAUGUGCGAAAGCACGACUGGGUUAGUCCGAGUGAUUCCUGCUAAAGGAAUCUUUUACCGGUCCUAAAAGCACCGGCGAAUAAGGGGUGGGCAAGUCUGGUGUCAGCCGCCGCGGUAAUACCAGCACCUCGAGUGAUCAGGACGUUUAUUGGGCCUAAAGCAUCCGUAGCUGGCUUUGCAAGUCUCCGGUUAAAUCAACCUGCUCAACAGAUUGGCCGCUGGAGAUACUACAAGGCUAGGGAGUGGGAGAGGCAGACGGUAUUCGGGGGGUAGGGGUAAAAUCCUCUGAUCCUCUGAGGACCACCAGUGGCGAAGGCGGUCUGCCAAAACACGUUCGACAGUGAGGGAUGAAAGCUGGGGGAGCAAACCGGAUUAGAUACCCGGGUAGUCCCAGCUGUAAACGAUGCAAACUCGGUGAAGCAUUGGCUUAAUGCUAAUGCUGUGCCGCAGGGAAGCCGUUAAGUUUGCCGCCUGGGAAGUACGGUCGCAAGAUUGAAACUUAAAGGAAUUGGCGGGGGAGCACCACAAGGGGUGAAGCCUGCGGUUC